AAUGAAAGUUAAAGAACCUACGUGUUUCCAAGAUAAGAGAGAAAAGGAGACUCCCGAGGGCUAUAUGAGGUCAAAGGAAAGAUCAUGGAGCCAAGUCAUUGGAGAAUUGGAUGAAAUAUAUCAAAAUAAGAAAUGGAAACAGCCUAAGCCAUGUGAUCUAGGAAAAGAAGAUUCGCUGUCUUCAAAGCACGAGAAUGGUUACUUUUACAGUGGUGCCCCCUAGUGCCGAUCGGAUUAGACUCACUUUCUAUAUUUGCCAAAAUACAGACCACACAAGAGAAGCAAAAUUUGGAGAAUUUACAAUGUUGGUAACUUUUCCUGCAUUUUCUUUAGCGUAGGAGAGAAUGAAGCAUGUUCCUUUACCAUGAUUCACAAGACCCUUUGUGAAAUGCUUUCCACCCCCACCCCCAGCUUUCCAGCUUCACCUCCACCACUUUCCUGCCAGAACACUUAACUUCAGUUAUUCGGAACAACUUGCCAUUCCUGCUUAGUAAGCUGUCCGCCCCUACCUACCCAUUCCCAUCCUCCUGUCUGCUUAAAGAAUUUAUUCUCCUUCUUCUAGUAUCAGCUGAGGCAUUAUCUCUUCCCCUAGGUUUUCCUGACUCCCCAGAAGACUGAGGCAGCCCCUCCCUCCUCCCUGCUCUCCUCCUCCCAUUGUCCCUCUAGCAUGUCACUCUUUUGUCCCCACCCGGCAUCUUGACUGUGAGUGCAAAUAGUUCAAAAACCUUCUCUAAGGGACGUUUAUAUCUCUCAUGCCUCAAACAGUGCCUAGCACAAGUAAUCACUCAAUGUAAAAAAAAAUCAGUGUAAGGAUGGCUCGCUUGAUAAUAGGAAGAACUGUA